rnacentral:rRNA from 1 species
AAUAAGAUACCCAGGUAGUCCACGCCGUAAACGAUGAGUGCUAAGUGUUAGAGGGUUUCCGCCCUUUAGUGCUGCAGCUAACGCAUUAAGCACUCCGCCUGGGGAGUACGGCCGCAAGGCUGAAACUCAAAGGAAUUGACGGGGGCCCGCACAAGCGGUGGAGCAUGUGGUUUAAUUCGAAGCAACGCGAAGAACCUUACCAGGUCUUGACAUCCUCUGCCAACCCUAGAGAUAGGGCGUUCCCCUUCGGGGGACGAGAGUGACAGGUGGUGCAUGGUUGUCGUCAGCUCGUGUCGUGAGAUGUUGGGUUAAGUCCCGCAACGAGCGCAACCCUUGAUCUUAGUUGCCAGCAUUUAGUUGGGUCACUCUAAGGUGACUGCCGGUGACAAAUACGGAGGAAGGUGGGGUAGUGACGUCAAAUCAUCAUGCCCCCUUAUGACCUGGGCUACACACGUGCUACAAUGGAUGGUACAAAGAGCUGCGAACCCGCGAGGGUAAGCGAAUCUCAUAAAGCCAUUCUCAGUUCGGAUUGUAGGU